rnacentral:rRNA from 1 species
CCUACGGGAGGCAGCAGUCGAGAAUCAUUCACAAUGGGGGAAACCCUGAUGGUGCGACGCCGCGUGGGGGAAUGCAGGUCUUCGGAUUGUAAACCCCUGUCAUGUGGGAGCAAAUUAAAAAGAUAGUACCACAAGAGGAAGAGACGGCUAAUACUGUGCCAGCAGCCGCGGUAAUACAGAGGUCUCAAGCGUUGUUCGGAAUCACUGGGCGUAAAGCGUGCGUAGACGGUUUCGUAAGUCGUGUGUGAAAGGUGGGGGCUCAACCCGCAGAGUGCACCUGAUACUGCGAGACUAGAGUACAGGAGGGGGAACCGGAAUUCGCGGUGUAGCAGUGAAAUGCGUAGAUAUCGAGAGGAACACUCGUGGCGAAGGCGGGUUCCUGGACAGUAACUGACGCUGAGGCACGAAGGCCAGGGGAGCGAAAGGGAUUAGAUACCCUAGUAGUC